rnacentral:rRNA from 1 species
UACGGAGGAUGCGAGCGUUAUCCGGAUUUAUUGGGUUUAAAGGGUGCGUAGGCGGAGUGUCAAGUCAGCGGUAAAAUUUCGGGGCUCAACCCCGUCGUGCCGUUGAAACUGACGCCCUUGAGUGAGUGAGAAGUAAGCGGAAUGCGUGGUGUAGCGGUGAAAUGCAUAGAUAUCACGCAGAAUGCCGAUUGCGAAGGCAGCUUACCGGCGCUCAACUGACGCUGAGGCACGAAAGUGCGGGUAUCGAACAGG